rnacentral:lncRNA from 1 species
AUCCCUGAGGAAUCGCCAUACAGUCUUCCACAAUGGUUGAACUUAUUUACACUUCUACUAACAGUGUAAAAGCAUUCCUAUUUCUCCACAUCCUCUCCAGCAUCUGUUGUUUCCUGACUUUCUAAUAAAUGCCCGUCAAUGAUAGACUGGAUAAAGAAAAUGUGGCACAUAUACUCCAUGGAACACUGAGCAGCCAUAAAAAAAUGAGUUCAUGUCCUUUGCAG